rnacentral:rRNA from 1 species
CAGUAGCCGCGGUAAUACGAAGGGGGCUAGCGUUGUUCGGAAUUACUGGGCGUAAAGGGCGCGCAGGCGGUCCGCUAAGACAGAUGUGAAAUCCCCGGGCUUAACCUGGGAACUGCAUUUGUGACUGGCGGGCUAGAGUAUGGCAGAGGGGGGUAGAAUUCCACGUGUAGCAGUGAAAUGCGUAGAGAUGUGGAGGAAUACCGAUGGCGAAGGCAGCCCCCUGGGCCAAUACUGACGCUCAUGCACGAAAGCGUGGGGAGCAAACAGGAUUAGAUACCCCUGUAGUCCCUGUCUCUUAUAC